GCCUAAUACAUGCAAGUCGAACGCACUCUCGUUUAGAUUGAAGGAGCUUGCUCCUGAUUGAUAACAUUUGAGUGAGUGGCGGACGGGUGAGUAACACGUGGGUAACCUGCCCUAAAGUGGGGAUAACAUUUGGAAACAGAUGCUAAUACCGCAUAAAACCUAACACCGCAUGGUGUAGGGUUGAAAGAUGGUUUCGGCUAUCACUUUAGGAUGGACCCGCGGUGCAUUAGUUAGUUGGUGAGGUAAAGGCUCACCAAGACCGUGAUGCAUAGCCGACCUGAGAGGGUAAUCGGCCACACUGGGACUGAGACACGGCCCAGACUCCUACGGGAGGCAGCAGUAGGGAAUCUUCCACAAUGGACGAAAGUCUGAUGGAGCAACGCCGCGUGAGUGAAGAAGGUUUUCGGAUCGUAAACUCUGUUGUUGGAGAAGAAUGUAUCUGAUAGUAACUGAUCAGGUAGUGACGGUAUCCAACCAGAAAGCCACGGCUAACUACGUG
rnacentral:rRNA from 1 species